GGCUCCGGACCGCCGAUGCCGGGACAGAGCUGGGACGCAGCCGUUCUGCAGUCAGUGGAAAUACACACAUUGACUUUAAUGGAAACCUGUUGACUCCGCCGCCGUUCCGGAGCAGAUCCCCAGCCAUUAUGCAUCCAGUGGAAAUUGGUGGUUAC